CAGUAGCCGCGGUAAAACGGAGGGGGCUAGCGUUGUUCGGAAUUACUGGGCGUAAAGCGCACGUAGGCGGCUUGGUAAGUUAGAGGUGAAAGCCCGGAGCUCAACUCCGGAAUUGCCUUUAAGACUGCCGAGCUAGCAGGUGAGAGAGGUAAGUGGAAUUCCGAGUGUAGAGGUGAAAUUCGUAGAUAUUCGGAAGAACACCAGUGGCGAAGGCGGCUUACUGGCUCAUACUGGACGCUGAGGUGCGAAAGCGUGGGGAGCAAACAGGAUUAGAUACCCGUGUAGUCCCUGUCUCUUAUAC
rnacentral:rRNA from 1 species